GGCUUUUUAUUAGUAGAUCACUUCGACUUAUGACUUUUGAUCACUUUAUUAUGUUUUAUUAUUUUCCUCUGUGUUUUUGUCUUCAACCUUGCAAUGCACAAGGUUGUGUAGAGCAGUUUGUCAUAGCGGGAUAAUGUGCUGACAGAGACCAAUUUUGACCUAUAAAAGAAAAGAGGAAGUAAGGAGUUACAAAGAUAUACUAAGUUACUGAUUUCCACCUUGGUCACAUUCUCUCAAGAUAUAUCGAAUUGUACAAUUAAAGACUUGUAUUUUCUAUUUAAGAUCCGUUUUUGGAAAAUCAAAAGUUGUUUCAGAAAUUAAGAAACUACUUUUGAACCAAUGAGGACAAUUUUUUGAAGGUGUUUUCUCUUAUUAGAAAAGCUUUUAAAAGAAAAUUGUUUAAGGUAACUUUCUUGAGAAGUUCUUCUGUAAGAAGCAGAAGCAAAAGCAAAAGCAAAAGUUAAAGCUAUGCCUAAAGGGUCCGUAUGAUUAUUGUUAUUUUUUCGUUUUUGGUGGAACUUAGAAUUUAAUAAAUUCGAGUAAAGUAAUGUUUCUAUUCGGCAUCAAUUUGUGUCACAUUGAAAGAUGGAUUCAAUUAAACGGGUCUUAGAUUCUUAACAUUUAAUGGAACAUAUCAUUUAAGCCCCGUUUGGCCCCCAUUCUUAACAGAAGGCUUUUUAUUAGUAGAUCACUUCGACUUAUGACUUUUGAUCACUUUAUUAUGUUUUAUUAUUUUCCUCUGUGUUUUUGUCUUCAAACUUGCAAUGCACAAGGUUGUGUAGAGCAAUUUGUCAUUGCAGGAUAAUGUGCUGACAAAGACCAAUUUUGACCUGUAAAAGAAAGAGGAAGUAAGGAGUUACAAAGAUAUACUGAGUUACUGAUUUCCACCUUGGUCACAUUCUCUCAAAAUAUAUCGAAUUGUACAAUUAAAGACCUGUAUUUUCUAUUUAAGAUCUGUUUUUGGAAAAUCAAAAGCUGUUUCAGAGAUUAAGAAACUACUUUUGAACCUAUGAGGACAAUUUUUUGAAGGUGUUUUGUCUUAUUAGAAAAGCUUUUAAAAGAAAAUUGUUUAAUGUAACUUUCUUGAGAAGUUCUUCUGUAAGAAGUAGAAACAAAAGCAAAAGUUAAAGCUAUGCCAAAAGGGUCUGUAUCAUCAUUGUUAUUUUUUUUUGUUUUUGGUGGAACUUAGAAUUUGAUAUAUUCGAGUAAAGUAAUGUUUUUAUUCGGCAUCAAUUUGUGUCACAUUGAAAGAUGGAUUCAAUUAAACGGGUCUUAGAUUCUUAACAUUUAAUGGAACAUAUCAUUUAAGCCCCGUUUGGCCCCCAUUCUUGACAGAAGGCUUUUUAUCAGUAGAUCACUUCGACUUAUGGCUUUUGAUCACUUUAUUAUGUUUUAUUAUUUUUCUUCUGUGUUUUUGUCUUCAACCUUGCAAUGCACAAGGUUGUGUAGAGCAGUUUGUCAUAGCAGGAUAAUGUGCUGACAGAGACCAAUUUUGACCUGUAAAAGAAAAGAGGAAGUAAGGAGUUAACAAAGAUAUACUGAGUUAUUGAUUUCCACCUUGGUCACAUUCUCUCAAGAUAUAUCGAAUUGUACAAUUAAAGACCUGUAUUUUGUAUUUAAGAUCUGUUUUUGGAAAAUCAAAAGUUGUUUCAGAGAUUAAGAAACUACUUUUGAACCUAUGAGGACAAUUUUUUGAAGGUGUUUU
rnacentral:lncRNA from 1 species